AACGAACGCUGGCGGCAGGCUUAACACAUGCAAGUCGAACGCAUCCUUCGGGGUGAGUGGCAGACGGGUGAGUAACGCGUGGGAACGUGCCCUUCAGUUCGGGAUAACCCAGGGAAACUUGGGCUAAUACCGGAUACGUGCGAGAGCAGAAAGAUUUAUCGCUGAAGGAUCGGCCCGCGUCUGAUUAGCUAGUUGGUGGGGUAAUGGCCCACCAAGGCGACGAUCAGUAGCUGGUCUGGGAGGAUGAUCAGCCACAUUGGGACUGAGACACGGCCCAAACUCCUACGGGAGGCAGCAGUGGGGAAUAUUGGACACUGGGCGCAAGCCUGAUCCAGCCAUGCCGCGUGAGUGAUGAAGGCCUUAGGGUUGUAAAGCUCUUUCGUCCGGGACGAUAAUGACGGUACCGGAAGAAGAAGCCCCGGCUAACUUCGUGCCAGCCGCCGCAGUAA
rnacentral:rRNA from 1 species